GGAAGAUCCAUUGUUCCAAUGGAAUUCGGUUUAUCUUCCUUGGCCCGAUCGUAUCCUGAAUUUGAAUCAUAUCGAGCAUAUAUGGGACACUAUUGGUCGUAAAGUGCACGAAAGGACACCCCAGUUCAAACACGUCAUGAAAUAAACAAUACCCUUCGUCAGGAAUGGUUGCUGCUACCUUAGCAACAAAUUAGUCGACUUAUGGCAAGAAUCAGAAGACGUUAAGAUGCGGUUAUCCGUUUGAAUGGAGGAUGCGCACAAAGUACUAAUUCUUUGGCGUAUAACGAUCAAC
rnacentral:lncRNA from 1 species